GCGUGGGAGAAGAAAAAUUGGCGCAGUUUUCAUUCAGUUUUCAGAGGAUUAACACCGACGUCUGUGUUGUGCUUUUCUUUUUCAGUGCAGCAACACAGAGACAUUUUGUCCGAUUAAUUCUGGAUUUUUGUGAAUAUUCCUUUGAAUAUCAGGUAUACGCCAUUUACGACUCUGUAAGAACACACCGCCUGCGUCUGGUCUACGACAAUCCCGCUUGGCUUCCGGCAACCUGCAGCAUGUCACAGAGUUUAUGGGAACCAGGGUUAAGAGAAGAAAUGCUCCCUAGUGACCCUGGCGUUAAGAAACGAUUACAGUUGUCGUGAAGUCGUGUCUCAUACUAUAAACUGAGCAUUCGCCUGAAGUGUUAUCAGUUAGAUAUCGGACUUGACUAAGUUCUACAGACAUGCACGUCCUCGCUUUUACCGUUCUCGUCGUGCUUUUCCCAGCAGUAUUUUGCGUCGACUGCUCAACUCGUCCCGACGGAGCUUACGAUCGCGGUUGUCGUGAGUUCAUUCACUGUCUGGACCACGUGGCCAACGUGAUAACAUGUCAACACAAGCUGGUCUUCAACAGCAACACGGGCAGGUG